rnacentral:rRNA from 1 species
AGUGAACGCUGGCGGUAGGCCUAACACAUGCAAGUCGAACGGCAGCACAGUAAGAGCUUGCUCUUACGGGUGGCGAGUGGCGGACGGGUGAGGAAUACAUCGGAAUCUACUUUUUCGUGGGGGAUAACGUAGGGAAACUUACGCUAAUACCGCAUACGACCUACGGGUGAAAGCAGGGGAUCUUCGGACCUUGCGCGAUUGAAUGAGCCGAUGUCGGAUUAGCUAGUUGGCGGGGUAAAGGCCCACCAAGGCGACGAUCCGUAGCUGGUCUGAGAGGAUGAUCAGCCACACUGGACCUGAGACACGUUCCAGACUCCUACGGGAGGCAGCAGUGGGGAAUAUUGGACAAUGGGCGCAAGCCUGAUCCAGCCAUCCCGCGUGGGUGAAGAAGGCCUUCGGGUUGUAAAGCCCUUUUGUUGGGAAAGAAAAGCAGCAGGUUAAUACCCCGCUGUUCUGACGGUACCCAAAGAAUAAGCACCGGCUAACUUCGUG